GACGAACGCUGGCGGCGUGCUUAACACAUGCAAGUCGAACGGAAAGGCCCUGCUUUUGUGGGGUGCUCGAGUGGCGAACGGGUGAGUAACACGUGAGUAACCUGCCCUUGACUUUGGGAUAACUUCAGGAAACUGGGGCUAAUACCGGAUAGGAGCUCCUGCUGCAUGGUGGGGGUUGGAAAGUUUCGGUGGUUGGGGAUGGACUCGCGGCUUAUCAGCUUGUUGGUGGGGUAGUGGCUUACCAAGGCUUUGACGGGUAGCCGGCCUGAGAGGGUGACCGGCCACAUUGGGACUGAGAUGCGGCCCAGACUCCUACGGUAGGCAGCAGUGGGGAAUAUUGCACAAUGGGCUGAAGCCUGAUGCAGCAACGCCGCGUGCGGGAUGACGGCCUUCGGGUUGUAAACCGCUUUCGCCUGUGACGAAGCGUGAGUGACGGUAAUGGGUAAAGAAGCACCGGCUAACUACGUG
rnacentral:rRNA from 1 species